rnacentral:misc_RNA from 1 species
AAGUCGUAACAAGGUUUCCGUAGGUGAACCUGCGGAAGGAUCAUUAACACGAACUUUAUCCAAUAUCAAAACCAACCGUGAACUUUUCCCCUCCCUAUACAUCUAAGUAAAGGGUCUGACUCACUACUACUACUCGUAGUCAGUGUUCAGUCCUUUCUUUAUGUAUAGGCUAACCUCAUUAUUAUUUUUAAACUAAUAACCAUAUAACAUUUAUUUGUUAUAUGCUCUUAUUUCUUUAAACCCCUAAAACUUUUUUUUAACUUAAGUUCUCAUAUCUUUCUUCUAUGAUAGAUUAGAUGAACUACUAAACUAAAAAAAAUAUUUUCUAUUAAUUUGGAAAAUUAUUUUUCGGUAUUACGAAAAAAUUAAAAGAACAACUCUUAACAAUGGAUAUCUUGGUUCUC